UGGGAGUUAUAUAUAGAUCAUAAUCUGAUCCCAUAUAAAAAGCUACUAAAUAUAGCAGAAAAUUAAUAUCAAUUAUUAUUUUUUCCUUAGAUCAUUUAGUUAGCUUAAGAAUUGUUACAAAUUGAUGGGCCAAUUUUAAAUUUUGAAAAAUAAAGAUGGAUUGUCUCUUUGUGUGUGGGGGUCCUCAAUGAUCUGUAUAAUCUGAUGAGAAGGAAUUGAAUAAGUUUGGCAAUACUAAGGUGGGAUGUUUUCUUCCUUUACCAUUCUAAACCUAUCUCUUCUCUCUAUUCAUCUCCUCUCUCUAGAUCUCUGAUCUCUUCUCCCUCUGCCUCGCUUCCUAUCUCUCAAUCAUGGAUCAUUUCGUUCUCUAUCCUCUGGGAGGAUUAUUGAUGGAUCACAUGCAGUUGAAAGGAUCACGAGUUACAUAUAGCAUAUAUACUACGUUUUCAAGAGAUCUUGAAUUUGUUAUGCCAAUU